GAUAUGUCACAUUGGAAUGUUGCUUGGACUUGGUGCCCAGCAUUCACCAUGAAGCCCAAACCCUGUUGGAGUGCCAGAAGCAAGUCUUAGGGGGAGUUUAACAGUAAUAUCUUUUGAGCUGACAGAUGGUGAAAGGGACAAAAGACUGAUCAGAAGGAGACAACAGAGUUACCUUUGCUGACCCUCAUAUUGCAUACACACUGUGCCAGGUCACAAUUCUAGAGGAACCUCCAGGGAAGAAAGAAAUUCCUUCACAGUUUUUUCAUCUUAAGAUCAGAUCAAAUCAAGCACGCAUCCAAGUAGGGUUGAUCUCACCAACUUGAGCUGCCAGAGGGACGAUGCCAACUAUCCAGAACUCACCUUGCUCAAUACAAAGCACCUCAUUGCCAGGGAAUGAGCCACCCGAUAGAUGAUGAAUUAUUGGGACAAAACAAUUCAUCAAAACUUCUAUGAAGGGAAGGUAUCAGGAGCAGAUGGACCUCUCAAGUCUCUUACAACUGUGAUGCUUUCUGAACUUUGUUUGCAAAUCAUGCACAUGAGAAAGUUUGAACCAUCUCUGAGAGCCUGGAAUGACACAAUACUCAAUACCCAAAGAAGAAAACAACAAAAUCCACACGACCAUUCCUUCCAGAAGUAUGCAGAUCUUGGUCAAAGUCAGAAAGUAGGCUGGAAGGCUCUGUCUGGUUUCUCCAUCAUCCCAGGUUGCCUUCUUUCUCUAUCAGCCACUUUGACAGUGAAAAUAUCCAAGUGAGUAGCAGAAGUAAAGCAUCCCCCA
rnacentral:lncRNA from 1 species